AAAAACAUGUCUUUUUGGUUAUUUAAUAUAAAGUCUAGCCUGCCCACUGAAUUUAAUUUUGAAGGGCCGCAGUAUUUUGACUGUGCAAAGGUAGCAUAAUCAUUAGUCUUUUAAUUGGAGGCUGGUAUGAAUGGUUGGAUGAGGUACAAGCUGUGUCAUAAAAAUUAAUAUUUGAAUUUAACUUUUUAGUCAAAAGGCUAAAAUUAAAUUAAAAGACGAGAAGACCCUAUAGAGCUUUAUAUAACAAUUAUUUAAUUUAUUAAGAUUUAUUAAAUUUAAUUAUUUGGUUAUAUUUUGUUGGGGUGACAGUAAAAUUAAAAAAACUUUUAUUAUUAAUUUACAUUUAUUUAUGAUUAAAUGAUCCAGUUUUAUUGAUUAUAAAUUUAAGUUACCUUAGGGAUAACAGCGUAAUUUUUUUUGAGAGUUCUUAUCGACAAAAAAGAUUGCGACCUCGAUGUUGGAUUAAGAGUAAUUUUGGGUGUAGAAGUUGGGCGGGCAAGACUGUACAACAAAUAACCUCUUACACG
rnacentral:rRNA from 1 species